rnacentral:tRNA from 4 species
UAGUUCAGUUGGUUAGAAUACCGGCCUGUCACGCCGGGGGUCGCGGGUUCGAGUCCCGUCCACUCCGCCA